UACGGAGGGGGCUAGCGUUGUUCGGAAUUACUGGGCGUAAAGCGCACGUAGGCGGCUUGCAAGUCAGAGGUGAAAGCCCGGGGCUCAACCCCGGAAUUGCCUUUGAGACUGCAUCGCUAGAAUUGUGGAGAGGUGAGUGGAAUUCCGAGUGUAGAGGUGAAAUUCGUAGAUAUUCGGAAGAACACCAGUGGCGAAGGCGACUCACUGGACACAUAUUGACGCUGAGGUGCGAAAGCGUGGGGAGCAAACAGG
rnacentral:rRNA from 1 species